rnacentral:lncRNA from 1 species
GCCCUACUGUGUUACAGUAGUAGCAGUAACAAAACCAUGAUGGUCUAAGGAUAUAAGCAAGUCAGAGGUGGUAGAAAAUGAUCCCAGUAAUUUGGUGUUCAGUGAGCAGGGCACAUUCUGCAUUGUUUUUCCACCACCGUGUCAUUCUGAGCAAAAAUGCUUCAGGGGAACACCACUGAACAGUUCUCUACAGAGACAGGACAAUACAGCAAAGGCAUGCACCACAUAUAUGGGAUCAGCAGACUGGGGUCAGAUCCAUGGGCUGUUCCAGAAAAUCUGGAUGCAAAAAGAAGAGUGGUAGAAUGCUUUGGGAACAGCUUUCGAAUGAUCCAAAGACCUCUCCGACAAUCUCCACUGUUUAGAAUAAGUUAUUGGAAAACACAGGUUAGAGCUUGCUCCAUCACCUGUCAUUCUUUUUAUCACACGUAAAAUCUGCUCAUGCACAUCUAUGUAGACAUUGAUACCUGGGUUGAAUGUGGUGCAGGAUCUUACUUUCCUUUUGUGGCUCUGCACACUGCUUGCUUCACUGCACAGAUUUUUCUUCAGCUGACUUGUGCUGUGAUUGCUGCGUGCCUGCAUGUAGUGGGGAGGAUGCCAUGUGCCCCUGUUUCAGCCUUAAACACUGCUAGAAAUUUUGUGAAGCGAAUUGUUUGCAGCAAUGAAUGAGUUUAUUGCAAUAUUCGACAAUAUGUGCCUAGAAACUAUCAGUUAUCUCACAUCCACUACAGGUAUUUGUAAAUAUUUCAAGUUAUU